rnacentral:rRNA from 1 species
CCUACGGGAGGCAGCAGUGAGGAAUAUUGGUCAAUGGCCGAGAGGCUGAACCAGCCAAGUCGCGUGAGGGAAGACGGCCCUGCGGGUCGUAAACCUCUUUUGUCGGGGAGCAAAGCGCGUCACGUGUGCCUCACUGAGAGUACCCGAAGAAAAAGCAUCGGCUAACUCCGUGCCAGCAGCCGCGGUAAUACGGAGGAUGCGAGCGUUAUCCGGAUUUAUUGGGUUUAAAGGGUGCGCAGGCGGGGGUGCAAGUCAGCGGUCAAAUUGCGGGGCUCAACCCCGGACUGCCGGUGAAACUGCAGGCCUUGAGUGCGCGAGAAGUAUGCGGAAUGCGUGGUGUAGCGGUGAAAUGCAUAGAUAUCACGCAGAACUCCGAUUGCGAAGGCAGCAUGCCGGGGCGCAACUGACGCUCAUGCACGAAAGCGUGGGUAUCGAACAGGAUUAGAUACCCGGGUAGUC